rnacentral:lncRNA from 1 species
CGCGCACCUGCACCUGCACCUGCACCUGCACCGAGGGGACACCGUGGGGGCACCGCGCGCACGCACCUGCACCGCGCGCCCGGGUUCAGGACUUGAUGCAAUCCGGAUCAAACGUGGCUGAGCGCGUGUGGACACGGGACUGACGCAACACACGUGUAACUGUCUGUCAGCCGGGCCCUGAGUAAUCACUUAAAGAUGUUCCUGCGGGGUUGUUGCUGUUGAUGUUUUUGGUUUUUUGUUUUGUUUUGUUUUUUCCUUUUUGGUCUUAUUAUUUUUUUGUAUUAUAAAAAAGUUCUAUUUCUAUGAGAAAAGAGGCGUAUGUAUAUUUUGAGAACCUUUUCCGUUUCGAGCAUUAAAGUGAAGACAUUUUAAUAAACUUUUUUGGAGAAUGUUUAAAAGCCUUUUGGGGGCAGUAGUUGGCUUUUGAAAAAUUUUUUUUUCUUCCCUUCUGACUUUGGAUUUAUGCGAGAUUUUGUUUUUGUGUUUCUGGUGUGUAGGGGGCUGCGGUUAUUUUUGGGUUGUGUGUGGUGGUGGGUGGGGGUGUCGCAUCUGGGUUUUUCUCUUCCCCUGGCAGAUGGGGUGCCAGCCCCUCCCCCAGGAGAGGGAGCAGAGUGCUGGGUCAGGAAAUCAGGGUGACUCAGCACCCAUGGGUGCUGGGGACCUUGCUGGAAACCCUGCUUGGGACAGGGUUGGUUCUGGGUGUCAGGCUUGUGUUGGGGACCAGGCAGGCAGUGACUCUGUAGGAGGGGCUGGUCCAGACAGCCCCAGACAGGGCAGGUGCUUUGGAUCUCCUGCCCCAGAGACCUACUCAGUCCCAGGAGAGUGGUGGUCACUGGACCCUGGAUCCAACCUCUUUGGGGAGGACAGACAGCAGAGGCUCGGCUCCAGAUGCUGCCAUGUGACCAUUUAUGUCCUCCAGUAUCCGUGGCAUCCCUGGGACUCUCCACAUUGCUGUCUUUUUCCUCAGCAAGUGCCGUCUUGCCUUACAGCAUAGCAGGUGUCAACUAUCUGAGGCUCUGAAAUGAUGAGAAGACCGUGGCCACAAUGUCCAAGUGGAAAAGGGAAGCUUGGGGUAAGCCUGCAGCAACUGAACACAGCAUAUGGUGUGUGUGUGUGUGUGUGUGUGUGUGUGUGUGUGUGUGUGUAUGUGUGCUCUGUAGGAUUCAGACACACAGCUAGUAAGUGGCAGAGCUGGUAUUUGAACCCAGGACCCCUGAGUCAGGAAAGGCAGAUGGAACAGUUGGCCAGGGAGGGGAAGGUGCUGCCAGGAUUGCCCUGUGACCUCACGACCCACUUCUGCUUUCUGUACCAUGUGCUCAGCACACAGGAAGCCUGGCGGGGCCUCCCUUGACUGUCCUGUCUGCAGCCGGGUGGACACGGGGUCCAGGCCCCACUUCCUGUGUUGUGCAAGAUGUGCCAUCCCCUUUGUGGAACAGGCAGUGGCCCCGGGGGAUGGGGACAGUCAAUGCCCGAGGUUAUCUCACAGCCUGGCCUUGCCCUCCCCCCGCCCCUUCUUUUACUCCUCUGUUGCCCUGAGGUUUAGGC